rnacentral:rRNA from 1 species
UAAAGAUUCAUCGCUGAUAGAUAGGCAUGCGUUCCAUUAGGCAGUUGGCGGGGUAACGGCCCACCAAACCGACGAUGGAUAGGGGUUCUGAGAGGAAGGUCCCCCACAUUGGUACUGAGACACGGACCAAACUCCUACGGGAGGCAGCAGUGAGGAAUAUUGGUCAAUGGGCGUAAGCCUGAACCAGCCAAGUCGCGUGAGGGAUGAAGGUUCUAUGGAUCGUAAACCUCUUUUAUAAGGGAAUAAAGUGCGGGACGUGUCCCGUUUUGUAUGUACCUUAUGAAUAAGGAUCGGCUAACUCCGUGCCAGCAGCCGCGGUAAUACGGAGGAUCCGAGCGUUAUCCGGAUUUAUUGGGUUUAAAGGGUGCGUAGGCGGCCUUUUAAGUCAGCGGUGAAAGUCUGUGGCUCAACCAUAGAAUUGCUGUUGAAACUGGGAGGCUUGAGUAUGUUUGAGGCAGGCGGAAUGCGUGGUGUAGCGGUGAAAUGCUUAGAUAUCACGCAGAACCCCGAUUGCGAAGGCAGCCUGCCAAGCCAUGACUGACGCUGAUGCACGAAAGCGUGGGGAUCAAACAGGAUUAGAUACCCUGGUAGUCCACGCAGUAAACGAUGAUCACUAGCUGUUUGCGAUACACAGUAA